rnacentral:lncRNA from 1 species
UAGAAAAAAUGGUAGUUUUUUAGUAGAUUGAAUUUUAAUUGAUGGCACCACGUAAGUAGAUGAAACAAUAAUCAAAUAUGGAGCAAUGCUAAUCGAGUUCAUUGGCCCAAUUUGUAUUACAAUACCUACAUAAAGAAUGGAAAUCAAAUAUAAUAGUGCAUCAGUACUUGAUGUAAAAGCCUAAGAUAUCAUGUAAGUAUUAAAAAGCAUAUUUACAAGCUUGAAUGUGCUUAGACUUGAGAUUAUAUAUGUAUCAAGAAAAGAAGCUAAUGGUCAAGGCUAGAUCAGAUUGGAUGCACAUAUAAGUUUAAUUUAGCAAGCUGACAAUAUUGGUGUAUGAAAAGCUAGAGUAAGUUGCACAAUCUUCAUCCAUUAGUAGACAAUCCAUUACAAAAAAAACUUAGUUCUAAAGGCAAUUGAAAUAAAGUU